AUCUUGGCUCAGGGUGAACGCUGGCGGCGUGCAAAACACAUGCAAGUCGAACGGUGUAGCAGGAGCUUGCUCUUGUGGAUCAGUGGCGAACGGGUGAGUAACACGUGAGCAACCUGCCCCGGACUCUGGGAUAAGCGCUGGAAACGGCGUCUAAUACUGGAUACGAGUAGCGACCGCAUGGUCAGCUAUUGGAUUGAAUUUCGGUCUGGGAUGGGCUCGCGGCCUAUCAGCUUGUUGGUGAGGUAAUGGCUCACCAAGGCGUCGACGGGUAGCCGGCCUGAGAGGGUGACCGGCCACACUGGGACUGAGACACGGCCCAGACUCCUACGGGAGGCAGCAGUGGGGAAUAUUGCACAAUGGGCGCAAGCCUGAUGCAGCAACGCCGCGUGAGGGAUGACGGCCAACGGGUUGUAAACCUCUUUUAGUAGGGAAGAAGCGAAAGUGACCGUACCUGCAGAAAAAGCGCCGGCUAACUACGUGCCAGCAGCCGCGGUAAUACGUAGGGCGCAAGCGUUAUCCGGAAUUAUUGGGCGUAAAGAGCUCGUAGGCGGUUUGUCGCGUCUGCUGUGAAAUCUGGGGGCUCAACCUCAAGCCUGCAGUGGGUACGGGCAGACUAGGGUGCGGUAGGGGAGAUUGGAAUUCCUGGUGUAGCGGUGGAAUGCGCAGAUAUCAGGAGGAACACCGAUGGCGAAGGCAGAUCUCUGGGCCGUAACUGACGCUGAGGAGCGAAAGGGUGGGGAGCAAACAGGCUUAGAUACCCUGGUAGUCCACGGCGUAAACGUUGGGAACUAGUUGUGGGGUCCAUUUCACGGAUUCCGUGACGCAGCUAACGCAUUAAGUUCCCCGCCUGGGGAGUACGGCCGCAAGGCUAAAACUCAAAGGAAUUGACGGGGACCCGCACAAGCGGCGGAGCAUGCGGAUUAAUUCGAUGCAACGCGAAGAACCUUACCAAGGCUUGACAUAUACGAGAACGGGCCAGAAAUGGUCAACUCUUUGGACACUCGUAAACAGGUGGUGCAUGGUUGUCGUCAGCUCGUGUCGUGAGAUGAAGGGUUAAGUCCCGCAACGAGCGCAACCCUCGUUCUAUGUUGCCAGCA
rnacentral:rRNA from 1 species